GACGCCGCUGGCGGCGUGCCUAAUACAUGCAAGUAGAACGAGUUGCGAACGGGUGAGUAACGCGUGGUAACCUGCCUGGUAGCGGGGGAUAACUAUUGGAAACGAUAGCUAAUACCGCAUACAAUUGCAUACUAACAGAUGGGAUUAGCUAGUAGGUGGGGUAACGGCUCACCUAGGCGACGAUCCCUAGCUGGUCUGAGAGGAGGACCAGCCACACUGGAACUGAGACACGGGCCAGACUCCUACGGGAGGCAGCAGUGGGGAAUAUUGCACAAUGGGCGCAAGCCUGAUGCAGCCAUGCCGCGUGUGUGAAGAAGGCCUUCGGGUUGUAAAGCACUUUCAGCGGGGAGGCGUUACCCGCAGAAGAAGCACCGGCUAACUCCGUGCCAGCAGCCGCGGUAAUAC
rnacentral:rRNA from 1 species